CCUUUCCGGUGGAGGACCCUUCCCCCUGGGUUGAUCUUGAGGAACUUAAGAGACGGUGUUUUGACUCGACUCCUUUCCCCUUUUUCCUCCCGGUACCAAAGCGGUUUUGUUUGCUGUUUAUACUCUACCCCGUGGAAAGGCGGCUAGCUGGCUAAAGGGUUUUAUGCCUGGGGGAGGAUGAGUCGCUAUUUGGUCGUGACUUGUUUCUGUUUAAAAUUAUUAUUAUUUACCAAAUGAAAAUGUUGUACUUACCAGUCCAAAGUGCGGGGCUUAUAUUGUUAGAAGACCACUUAAAAUGCUCCUGGAUUCUGACAAAUAUUGCAUGAGAAAUUUGCAAUCAGCCGUGAAGCAUGUUUCCCCUUCUGAAAGUUUAACACGUGCCGUAUCUACGGCUGGGAUCUAACACAUCCCAUUCCUACAGGGUAAUUUCCUAUUGUGUUUUCAAAUACUACUAAAGUACUUUAACCAAGAGUUUUCAAUAAUCUUUAUGUAUUAUUGCCUAUCUCUAUGCAAGGUAUCAAUAGUUUUCUACAGGUUCGGGACUACACUGUUUAAUAUAUAACCCCAACCCUUGGUACCGCACUGACCUUCAGUAUUUGGUUGCUGAAAUCUUCAAUGAUGAAAGGGACAGGCAGAACUUGCUGAAACUCCAACCUCUGGAAAUUACUGGAACCCUGCAUUCUAGAACUUGCUGGAAACCCACCCUCUGGAAUUGGCCUGCUAGAGUGCCUGAGAAGGAUGUUCAUAGGGAAAUGUUUCAGCAGAGGAACUCUACUACAAAAACCACAAGAGGGAGGGUGCCAGGGGAAGUGGCCUGGUGCUAUUGAAACUGCAACACAGAAGCCAGCCACUGGAGAGAGCUGCACAAGCUGCAGGAACACCCUACCCAGUAAGCCGGCCAGAAGGAGGGAGCAAAACCUUUUCUCUCUGCAACAUCUUUCCAGUUUCCUCUACUGGAAAAGCUUCAUUGCCAGCUGACAAAAGGAAAAAUACUUAAAUGGAUCAGAUCCAUUUUCACAGAGCAGUCAAUAAUGGUGAAUUUGGAGAUGAUAAGCAACAAAUUGAUGAACUGGCACAACUUCCCUGCUACUUUCUUGAUUGUAAUGCCUAGAUAGGGAAUAGGAAAGUUAUUGAAAUGUAUGUGUUCCCAUGAAAUGUGUUUAUUUGUUGUUCAAGAUCAAUACUAAUAAAUGGGGACUAAUGUUCUGAAGUAUUUUGGAACAAUUAGAAUCACCACUCUUAACCCUGUGGCCAAAGUCUUAAAUGGACAGGGAGGAAAAUGUUUAUAAACUGAAGCAAAAAUUGAUCUACAUAGAAAAUAAAUCUGGAGUAUUUACUUGGUAGGUAUACUAGUUUCCUAGGGCUGCCAUAACAAGUUAUUACAAACUGGGUGGCUUAAAACAACAGAAAUUUGUUCUCUCACAGUUCUAAAGGCCAGAAAUCCAAAAUCAAGGUGUUUGCCAAAGCCAUGCUCUAGGGGAGAAUCCUUUGCUUCUUCCAGCUUCUGGUGGCUCCUGGCAUUACUUGGUUUGUGAGAGCAUAAUUCUAAUGUCCGCUUCUACCUUCAUAUGGCCUUCUUUCAUAUGACAUGUCAAAUCUUCCUCUCCUUUUUCUUAUAAGGACACCAGUCAUUGGAUUUCAGGCUCACCCUUAAGCCGGGAUGAUCUCAUCUCCAGAACCCUAACUUAAUUACAUCCACAAAGACCCUAUUUCUAAGUAAGAUCAUAUUCACGAGUACUGGGGUUAGGACAUGGACAUCUUUUUGGAGGACACAAUUCAAUCCACCAACACAUUUUUAUUUUACUUUGGUCUUUAAAAAGAAUAAGCCGAGUUCAGUGGCUCAUGCAUGUAAUCCCAGCACUUUGGGAGGCCAAGGCGAGCAGAUCACUUGAGGCCAGGAGUUCACGACCAGCCUGGUCAACAUAGCAAAACCCUAUCUCUACUAAAAAUACCAAAAUUAGGGCCGUGCGCGGUGACUCACGCCUAUAAUCCCAGCACUUUGGGAGGCUGAGACGGGCGGAUCACGAGGUCAGGAGACCGAGAACAUCCUGGCUAACACGGUGAAACCCCGUCUCUACUAAAAAUAAAAAAAAAUUAGCCCGGCGUGGUGGCGGGCGCCUGUAGUCCCAGCUACUCAGGAGGCUGAGGCAGGAGAAUGGCAUGAACCCGGGAGGCGGAGCUUGCAGUGAGCCGAGAUCGCGCCACUGCACUCCAGCCUGGGC
rnacentral:lncRNA from 1 species